rnacentral:rRNA from 1 species
UACGUAGGGGGCAAGCGUUGUCCGGAUUUACUGGGCGUAAAGAGCGCGCAGGCGGUCGUAUAAGUCGCGUGUGAAAGCCCCCGGCUCAACUGGGGAGGGUCACGCGAUACUGUUCGACUCGAAGGCAGGAGAGGGAAGUGGAAUUCCCGGUGUAGUGGUGAAAUGCGUAGAUAUCGGGAGGAACACCGGUGGCGAAGGCGGGUCUCUGGGCCGAUACUGACGCUGAGGAGCGAAAGCGUGGGGAGCGAACAGG